rnacentral:rRNA from 1 species
UGGCUCAGAUUGAACGCUGGCGCAAGGCUUAACACAUGCAAGUCGAACGGUAACAGGAAGCAGCUUGCUGCUUUGCUGACGAGUGGCGGACGGGUGAGUAAUGUCUGGGAAACUGCCUGAUGGAGGGGGAUAACUACUGGAAACGGUGGCUAAUACCGCAUAACGUCGCAAGACCAAAGAGGGGGACCUUCGGGCCUCUUGCCAUCAGAUGUGCCCAGAUGGGAUUAGCUUGUUGGUGAGGUAACGGCUCACCAAGGCGACGAUCCCUAGCUGGUCUGAGAGGAUGACCAGCCACACUGGAACUGAGACACGGUCCAGACUCCUACGGGAGGCAGCAGUGGGGAAUAUUGCACAAUGGGCGCAAGCCUGAUGCAGCCAUGCCGCGUGUAUGAAGAAGGCCUUCGGGUUGUAAAGUACUUUCAGCGGGGAGGAAGGUGUUGCGGUUAAUAACCGCAGCAAUUGACGUUACCCGCAGAAGAAGCACCGGCUAACUCCGUGCCAGCAGCCGCGGUAAUACGGAGGGUGCAAGCGUUAAUCGGAAUUACUGGGCGUAAAGCGCACGCAGGCGGUCUGUCAAGUCGGAUGUGAAAUCCCCGGGCUCAACCUGGGAACUGCAUUCGAAACUGGCAGGCUUGAGUCUUGUAGAGGGGGGUAGAAUUCCAGGUGUAGCGGUGAAAUGCGUAGAGAUCUGGAGGAAUACCGGUGGCGAAGGCGGCCCCCUGGACAAAGACUGACGCUCAGGUGCGAAAGCGUGGGGAGCAAACAGGAUUAGAUACCCUGGUAGUCCACGCCGUAAACGAUGUCUACUUGGAGGUUGUGCCCUUGAGGCGUGGCUUCCGGAGCUAACGCGUUAAGUAGACCGCCUGGGGAGUACGGCCGCAAGGUUAAAACUCAAAUGAAUUGACGGGGGCCCGCACAAGCGGUGGAGCAUGUGGUUUAAUUCGAUGCAACGCGAAGAACCUUACCUGGUCUUGACAUCCACAGAAGAAUCCAGAGAUGGAUUUGUGCCUUCGGGAACUGUGAGACAGGUGCUGCGUGGCUGUCGUCAGCUCGUGUUGUGAAAUGUUGGGUUAAGUCCCGCAACGAGCGCAACCCUUAUCCUUUGUUGCCAGCGAUUAGGUCGGGAACUCAAAGGAGACUGCCAGUGAUAAACUGGAGGAAGGUGGGGAUGACGUCAAGUCAUCAUGGCCCUUACGACCAGGGCUACACACGUGCUACAAUGGCGCAUACAAAGAGAAGCGACCUCGCGAGAGCAAGCGGACCUCAUAAAGUGCGUCGUAGUCCGGAUUGGAGUCUGCAACUCGACUCCAUGAAGUCGGAAUCGCUAGUAAUCGUGAAUCAGAAUGCCACGGUGAAUACGUUCCCGGGCCUUGUACACACCGCCCGUCACACCAUGGGAGUGGGUUGCAAAAGAAGUAGGUAGCUUAACCUUCGGGAGGGCGCUUACCACUUUGUGAUUCAUGACUGGGGUGAAGUCGUAACAAGG